rnacentral:rRNA from 1 species
UACGUAGGGGGCGAGCGUUGUCCGGAAUUAUUGGGCGUAAAGAGCGUGUAGGCGGUUCGGUAAGUCUGGCGUGAAAACCUGGGGCUCAACCCCGGGCGUGCGGUGGAUACUGCCGGGCUAGAGGGUGGUAGAGGCGAGUGGAAUUCCCGGUGUAGCGGUGAAAUGCGCAGAUAUCGGGAGGAACACCAGUAGCGAAGGCGGCUCGCUGGGCCAUUCCUGACGCUGAGACGCGAAAGCUAGGGGAGCGAACAGG